AAGCACUAUUGCGCUUCUUCAUUUUUUUUUUUUUCUUCUCCAUUUCAAGCUAAGAGAAAGGAGGAAGAGAGGCAGAAAAGGAGUCAAAGAAGGACGGUGGAAAGGAGAGAGGAAGGAAAACGAAGGUUCCAGGAAAGACUCCAACCACCUGAGCAUGUGCAGGGCCUCCAGCUGCUACAUCCUGAAGUGUGAUCCUGUCGCUGUCACAGUUGAAGGAAGACUGUGUCCCAGCAGUGCCUUGACUAAGAGGCCUCUCUCAGAGAUACGAGGGUGGCAUCGGAUGGCGCUCCAGCUACCACAAGAAGCGCUGGCUGCUCCCUCUCCUCCUUCCCAGAACACUGACUUCUCCAGUUCUCCCAGUGGCAUACCAACUUCUACCCUUUCUCUAUCCCAUUUUCAGAUUUCCAGUUCUUACAAAAUUUCUUUGAGGCUCACCCAAGCUUAAAGCUGAUGAACCACAGAACAGGUUGGAACCAGAGCUGUGUCUUAAAAAUAGGAAUCAUUUCUAAAUUAAUUGACUUGAAGUCAAUACUUUCCCACCAUGAAGCCUAUUACAAAAAUGAAUAAAACUAUAGAGUAAUGAAUUAAAGCUAAUUUU
rnacentral:lncRNA from 1 species